UACGUAGGCAGCAAGCGUUGUUCGGAAUUACUGGGCGUAAAGCGCACGUAGGCGGUCUUUUAAGUCGGGGGUGAAAUCCUGGAGCUCAACUCCAGAACUGCCUUCGAUACUGGAAGACUUGAGUCCGGGAGAGGUGAGUGGAACUGCGAGUGUAGAGGUGAAAUCGUAGAUAUUCGCAAGAACACCAGUGGCGAAGGCGGCUCUCUGGGACGGUACUGACGCUGAGACGCGAAAGCGUGGGGAGCGAACGAG
rnacentral:rRNA from 1 species